AUUGAACGCUGGCGGCAUGCUUUACACAUGCAAGUCGAACGGUAACAGGCCGCAAGGUGCUGACGAGUGGCGAACGGGUGAGUAAUGCAUCGGAACGUGCCCAGUCGUGGGGGAUAACUACUCGAAAGAGUAGCUAAUACCGCAUACGAUCUAUGGAUGAAAGCGGGGGACCGUAAGGCCUCGCGCGAUUGGAGCGGCCGAUGUCAGAUUAGGUAGUUGGUGGGGUAAAGGCUCACCAAGCCAACGAUCUGUAGCUGGUCUGAGAGGACGACCAGCCACACGGGGACGGGGAAACGGCCCAAACUCCCAGGGGGGGCAGGAGGGGGGAAUUUGGAAAAAGGGGGGAAAGCCGUACCCAGAAAGGCCGGGGGGAGGAAGAAGGCCUUGGGGUUGUAACCUGUUUUUGUAGGGAAAAAAAGGGCUUUGGUUAAUCCCCGGGGGUAAUGACGGUACCGAAAGAAAAAGCCCCGGCUAACUACGU
rnacentral:rRNA from 1 species